UAAUUACAUAAAAUUAAAGACACAAUUUUGAAAUAUGUUACUUGGCAAUAAACGUCGAAAUCGUGGCGGUUGACAGGUCUUUAUCUUUACGACUUUGUAUAUGCAUAUACUAUGAGUACAUAUCGCAAGAAACUCCACUGUUUUACUGUGGUAAUAAAACAACCAAGGCAGCCGUCUUGUCAACACUCCCCAAUGUUGAGGUGAAAACCAAGGGUUCGGAACACCCAAUAUUGGAAAAAACCACAGUAUAAUCUUCUGGUUGAAGCUACAAUUAUGGUUUCCCGCACACUGAAAUCCAGAAAAUAGAAACAAAAGCCCCUCUGAGCCCCUACUAAGGUGCAUAUGAAAUUAUUUUAAUACCUUUUAAGCUCCUAUACAGGCCAGCAACAUAUUGGUCAGGAUUAUGCCCCAAACACACAGUUUCAUAAUUUUCCAAUGAAAGCAAACACAAAAGAAACAGCUGGCAUUGAAUGUUCACCACAAAGCAGCACGACAUGCACCUUCCGAUUUAGCACUUGAUAUGGAUGCCCCUUUGUAGCUACCACUCGGUCGGCAUCAAAUCCGAAGCCUACACUCGGAAGCCACCACUGGACACCCCACCGUAGACAACACUCGAUCGUCGCCACACAACUUCAGUUCCAUGAACGAUCAACAUAUCGAUGCCGGAGGCUUACAAAUAAAUA